rnacentral:rRNA from 1 species
AGCGUUGCUCGGAAUCACUGGGCGUAAAGCGCACGUAGGCGGCUUUUUAAGUCAGGGGUGAAAUCCUGGAGCUCAACUCCAGAACUGCCUUUGAUACUGAGAAGCUCGAGUCCGGGAGAGGUGAGUGGAACUGCGAGUGUAG